rnacentral:lncRNA from 1 species
UUUGAAUGUCCUCCUUAAGACCAGCUCUAAACCUAGAUAGGGUUACGGCUUCUGACUCGACUAUGUUGCACCUCAUAGCGAACUCAUCAAAUUUGGCAAUGUACUCAGAUACAGUUUUUCCUAUUUGAUUUAAUCUUUGCCAUUGAUCUAGUAACCUCUGUUCGUAGGAUAAUGGGACGUAUUUCUCUCUUAGCUUAAUUUUCAUCUGUCUCCAUGUAUUGAUAGGUAGUUCUUCUCUUUGCCUAGUGAUCCUCUCAAUAUUUCCCCAGUAUAACCUUGCAUGUCGUGUCAACCUAAGCUUGGCAAAUUUGAAUUUUCUUUCUUCCGACUCAUACCACUCAAAAUAUUGAUCCAUGUCAUUUUUCCAAUCAAUGUAUACCUUAGGGUCUAGACUUCCUUCGAAGGAGGGUGCAUCAAGUCUGAUACUCCUAA